rnacentral:rRNA from 2 species
GUGCUUGCACCUGAUUGAUUUUGGUCGCCAACGAGUGGCGGACGGGUGAGUAACACGUAGGUAACCUGCCCAGAAGCGGGGGACAACAUUUGGAAACAGAUGCUAAUACCGCAUAACAGCGUUGUUCGCAUGAACAACGCUUAAAAGAUGGCUUCUCGCUAUCACUUCUGGAUGGACCUGCGGUGCAUUAGCUUGUUGGUGGGGUAACGGCCUACCAAGGCGAUGAUGCAUAGCCGAGUUGAGAGACUGAUCGGCCACAAUGGGACUGAGACACGGCCCAUACUCCUACGGGAGGCAGCAGUAGGGAAUCUUCCACAAUGGGCGCAAGCCUGAUGGAGCAACACCGCGUGAGUGAAGAAGGGUUUCGGCUCGUAAAGCUCUGUUGUUAAAGAAGAACACGUAUGAGAGUAACUGUUCAUACGUUGACGGUAUUUAACCAGAAAGUCACGGCUAACUACGUGCCAGCAGCCGCGGUAAUACGUAGGUGGCAAGCGUUAUCCGGAUUUAUUGGGCGUAAAGAGAGUGCAGGCGGUUUUCUAAGUCUGAUGUGAAAGCCUUCGGCUUAACCGGAGAAGUGCAUCGGAAACUGGAUAACUUGAGUGCAGAAGAGGGUAGUGGAACUCCAUGUGUAGCGGUGGAAUGCGUAGAUAUAUGGAAGAACACCAGUGGCGAAGGCGGCUACCUGGUCUGCAACUGACGCUGAGACUCGAAAGCAUGGGUAGCGAACAGGAUUAGAUACCCUGGUAGUCCAUGCCGUAAACGAUGAGUGCUAGGUGUUGGAGGGUUUCCGCCCUUCAGUGCCGGAGCUAACGCAUUAAGCACUCCGCCUGGGGAGUACGACCGCAAGGUUGAAACUCAAAGGAAUUGACGGGGGCCCGCACAAGCGGUGGAGCAUGUGGUUUAAUUCGAAGCUACGCGAAGAACCUUACCAGGUCUUGACAUCUUGCGCCAACCCUAGAGAUAGGGCGUUUCCUUCGGGAACGCAAUGACAGGUGGUGCAUGGUCGUCGUCAGCUCGUGUCGUGAGAUGUUGGGUUAAGUCCCGCAACGAGCGCAACCCUUGUUACUAGUUGCCAGCAUUAAGUUGGGCACUCUAGUGAGACUGCCGGUGACAAACCGGAGGAAGGUGGGGACGACGUCAGAUCAUCAUGCCCCUUAUGACCUGGGCUACACACGUGCUACAAUGGACGGUACAACGAGUCGCGAACUCGCGAGGGCAAGCAAAUCUCUUAAAACCGUUCUCAGUUCGGACUGCAGGCUGCAACUCGCCUGCACGAAGUCGGAAUCGCUAGUAAUCGCGGAUCAGCAUGCCGCGGUGAAUACGUUCCCGGGCCUUGUACACACCGCCCGUCACACCAUGAGAGUUUGUAACACCCAAAGUCGGUGGGGUAACCU